rnacentral:rRNA from 1 species
UACGUAGGGGGCAAGCGUUGUCCGGAUUUAUUGGGUUUAAAGGGUGCGUAGGCGGCCCUAUAAGUCAGUGGUGAAAUAUCGCAGCUUAACUGUGAGGGUGCCAUUGAUACUGUAGGGCUUGAGUGAAUUUGAGGUAGGCGGAAUUGACGGUGUAGCGGUGAAAUGCUUAGAUAUCGUCAAGAACACCGAUAGUGAAGACAGCUUACCAAGCUUCAACUGACGCUGAGGCACGAAAGUGUGGGGAGCAAACAGG